GAUGAACGCUGGCGGCGUGCCUAAUACAUGCAAGUCGAGCGAACGGACGAGAAGCUUGCUUCUCUGAUGUUAGCGGCGGACGGGUGAGUAACACGUGGAUAACCUACCUAUAAGACUGGGAUAACUUCGGGAAACCGGAGCUAAUACCGGAUAAUAUUUUGAACCGCAUGGUUCAAAAGUGAAAGACGGUCUUGCUGUCACUUAUAGAUGGAUCCGCGCUGCAUUAGCUAGUUGGUAAGGUAACGGCUUACCAAGGCAACGAUGCAUAGCCGACCUGAGAGGGUGAUCGGCCACACUGGAACUGAGACACGGUCCAGACUCCUACGGGAGGCAGCAGUAGGGAAUCUUCCGCAAUGGGCGAAAGCCUGACGGAGCAACGCCGCGUGAGUGAUGAAGGUCUUCGGAUCGUAAAACUCUGUUAUUAGGGAAGAACAUAUGUGUAAGUAACUGUGCACAUCUUGACGGUACCUAAUCAGAAAGCCACGGCUAACUACGUGCCAGCAGCCGCGGUAAUACGUAGGUGGCAAGCGUUAUCCGGAAUUAUUGGGCGUAAAGCGCGCGUAGGCGGUUUUUUGAGUCUGAUGUGAAAGCCCACGGCUCAACCGUGGAGGGUCAUUGGAAACUGGAAAACUUGAGUGCAGAAGAGGAAAGUGGAAUUCCAUGUGUAGCGGUGAAAUGCGCAGAGAUAUGGAGGAACACCAGUGGCGAAGGCGACUUUCUGGUCUGUAACUGACGCUGAUGUGCGAAAGCGUGGGGAUCAAACAGGAUUAGAUACCCUGGUAGUCCACGCCGUAAACGAUGAGUGCUAAGUGUUAGGGGGUUUCCGCCCCUUAGUGCUGCAGCUAACGCAUUAAGCACUCCGCCUGGGGAGUACGACCGCAAGGUUGAAACUCAAAGGAAUUGACGGGGACCCGCACAAGCGGUGGAGCAUGUGGUUUAAUUCGAAGCAACGCGAAGAACCUUACCAAAUCUUGACAUCCUUUGACAACUCUAGAGAUAGAGCCUUCCCCUUCGGGGGACAAAGUGACAGGUGGUGCAUGGUUGUCGUCAGCUCGUGUCGUGAGAUGUUGGGUUAAGCCCCGCAACGAGCGCAACCCUUAAGCUUAGUUGCCAUCAUUAAGUUGGGCACUCUAAGUUGACUGCCGGUGACAAACCGGAGGAAGGUGGGGAUGACGUCAAAUCAUCAUGCCCCUUAUGAUUUGGGCUACACACGUGCUACAAUGGACAAUACAAAGGGCAGCGAAACCGCGAGGUCAAGCAAAUCCCAUAAAGUUGUUCUCAGUUCGGAUUGUAGUCUGCAACUCGACUACAUGAAGCUGGAAUCGCUAGUAAUCGUAGAUCAGCAUGCUACGGUGAAUACGUUCCCGGGUCU
rnacentral:rRNA from 1 species